AAUUAAAAAUUAUGUCUACAAAUGUCAGUUAUUUUAAUAACAAAUUCAAAAAAAAAAACUUCCCCUCCAAUUAGCAGCUGCAUUUCAUCAGAUUUUCUCAAAUAACCUUCGAAGGGAGACAAUUUCGGUGUCGGCAUAACUAAAAUACGCAUGAAAUUCCUUUACAAAUUGUAACCGGAUGUUAUUCGUCAUCUGCCACACCAUGGGCCAUACAUCUUCUUAGGUGUAGCUGUAAACAUUAAUUAGAAUUAUAAUUGAAUGGAGGUCACAAAAGGAACGUGUGAGCAGCUUAAUGAAGGGUUGUUCGAGAUGUCAAGGUGUACCAUAGCGGAUUCUCAAGGUGUGAGUCUUUUACAACAGCAACAAAAAACAAAGCGGCAGCAGCAGCUUAUUUAUGUUGCCAAUUGAAUUGGAGUUUUUGUUCUUCUUAUUUUUCUAACCAAAAAUUACUUUUGAAUUAUUUUGUUUGAAGAGCAAGUUCAGUUUGUUUGUAGAAAAGAUAAAUUGUUUGUAAAAUGG